rnacentral:rRNA from 1 species
CAUGCAGAUCCAUUUUCUGCCACCGAAUACAUUAGCAUGGGAUAAUGGAAUAGGACCCUGUCCUCCUAUUUUCAGUUGGUUUUGGCAGCGCGAGGACUAGGGUAAUGAUUAAUAGGGAUAGUUGGGGGCAUUAAUAUUUAAUUGUCAGAGGUGAAAUUCUUGGAUUUAUGAAAGAUUAACUUCUGCGAAAGCAUCUGCCAAGGAUGUUUUCAUUAAUCAAGAACGAAAGUUAGGGGAUCGAAGACGAUCAGAUACCGUCGUAGUCUUAACCAUAAACGAUGCCGACCAGCGAUUAGGAGACGUUGAAUACAAAACACCACCAUCGGUGCGGUCGUCCUUGGCGUUGGUCUUCAAAAGCCAGCGCGGGGGUGGCUUAGCCCGGUGGCACCGGUGAAUGACUC